ACUUCGGUCUGGUGGCGAGUGGCGAACGGGUGAGUAAUACAUCGGAACGUGCCCUGUUGUGGGGGAUAACUAGUCGAAAGAUUAGCUAAUACCGCAUACGACCUGAGGGUGAAAGCGGGGGACCGUAAGGCCUCGCGCAAUAGGAGCGGCCGAUGUCUGAUUAGCUAGUUGGUGGGGUAAAGGCCCACCAAGGCGACGAUCAGUAGCUGGUCUGAGAGGACGAUCAGCCACACUGGGACUGAGACACGGCCCAGACUCCUACGGGAGGCAGCAGUGGGGAAUUUUGGACAAUGGGGGCAACCCUGAUCCAGCAAUGCCGCGUGUGUGAAGAAGGCCUUCGGGUUGUAAAGCACUUUUGUCCGGAAAGAAAUGGCGCUGGCUAAUACCCGGCGUUGAUGACGGUACCGGAAGAAUAAGCACCGGCUAACUACGUGCCAGCAGCCGCGGUAAUACGUAGGGUGCGAGCGUUAAUCGGAAUUACUGGGCGUAAAGCGUGCGCAGGCGGUUUGGUAAGACAGGCGUGAAAUCCC
rnacentral:rRNA from 2 species